AAACCCAGCUUCUCUACAGCACCAGGAAGAAGGCAAGCUGGGCCACCAGGGCGCGGCCCCAGGAAGGAAAAUCCUCCAUGGUCCUGUUGACAGAUGUGGUAUCAAAUGAAUUGUUCUCUGCUUAGACACGACUUUGAUAUUUAUUGGUUCAAAUUGCUCGGCUGACUCAGUCUUGCUGAGCCCUGAAGCAUGGCAUUGAGAAGCUGCCUAAGAAGGAGGCAGAUCCAUCAGCCUGGGUGCCCGACUGAUUACCCUGAGCAGAGCUCCCCAGCCCACCUGUGAUGGACGCAUGGAGCUUGAGCAAGGAAUAAAUAUUCGUUGCUUCCUGAGAACCCCACUGCGGAUGAGAACAAACGUUUGUUCGGCUGACCCUUUCUCAGAUCCCGCCCACUGAGAAGUGACAGUCCCUCCUCUCCCCGCCUCUCCCUGACCCCCAGCUCUCCGCGGCGGGAUCUGAGCCCUCUCCUGCUGGACUUGUGGUACUUGCUGAACAAUCUCGUGUUGUUGUCUGCCCGCUGGGAGAGAACACUGAUAAGAGAGGCGAUUAGGUGACUAAAUCUGCUG
rnacentral:lncRNA from 1 species